rnacentral:rRNA from 1 species
CCUACGGGAGGCUGCAGUGAGGAAUAUUGGUCAAUGGGCGCGAGCCUGAACCAGCCAAGUCGCGUGAGGGAAGACGGUCCUAUGGAUUGUAAACCUCUUUUGUCAGGGAACAAAGGCGGGGACUAGUCCCCGGAUGAGGGUACCUGAAGAAAAAGCAUCGGCUAACUCCGUGCCAGCAGCCGCGGUAAUACGGAGGAUGCGAGCGUUUUCCGGAUUUAUUGGGUUUAAAGGGUGCGCAGGCGGAGGUGCAAGUCAGCGGUCAAAUUGCGGGGCUCAACCCCGUACUGCCGUUGAAACUGCAUCCCUUGAGUGCGCGAGAAGUAUGCGGAAUGCGUGGUGUAGCGGUGAAAUGCAUAGAUAUCACGCAGAACUCCGAUUGCGAAGGCAGCAUACCGGCGCGCAACUGACGCUCAUGCACGAAAGCGUGGGUAUCGAACAGGAUUAGAUACCCGUGUAGUC